rnacentral:misc_RNA from 1 species
UUGAUUAUUGUGUUGGUAUCAGACUAGACUGCUUAAAAAGGGUGUAAAGGUCCCCACUGGCGGCCGGAGCCGCCGAGGAAACAUAGGUACAAAAGGCAAAGGGUGGUAUCUUCAGGGCCGAAGCCCCUACACGUAAUGAUCCUGCUGCAGGUCCACCUACAGCAA